rnacentral:rRNA from 1 species
AUUGAACGCUGGCGGCCAGCCUAACACAUGCAAGUCGAACGAGUGGCGGACGGGUGAGUAAUGUCUGGGAAACUGCCUGAUGGAGGGGGAUAACUACUGGAAACGGUAGCUAAUACCGCAUACUAUCGGAUGUACCCAUAUGGGAUUAGCUAGUAGGUGGGGUAAUGGCUCACCUAGGCGACGAUCCCUAGCUGGUCUGAGAGGAUGACCAGCCACACUGGAACUGAGACACGGUCCAGACUCCUACGGGAGGCAGCAGUGGGGAAUAUUGCACAAUGGGCGCAAGCCUGAUGCAGCCAUGCCGCGUGUAUGAAGAAGGCCUUAGGGUUGUAAAGUACUUUCAGCGGGGAGGCGUUACCCGCAGAAGAAGCACCGGCUAACUCCGUGCCAGCAGCCGCGGUAAUUC